rnacentral:lncRNA from 1 species
GAAAAAAAUAAUAAAAAAAAAUUAUAAAAAAAAUAAUAAUAAAAUAAAAAGUUACUAAGAAGAUCUAAACCUCCGAGAGGGUGAAUCGGGUUUAGGUCUUAGCGUAGUAGAAAAAUAUACAAAAAAAUACAUAAAACACAAAA